UUCCCUCCUUGAAUAAGUUGUCCAAUACAUCAGGUAUUUGUCAGUGUUACAAGAUACAAUUACAGUGUCAAUGGCAGGUUACCAGGGAGAGCGCUGGGUAGAACUGGGUUGUAGAGCACAUAUCUCAACCCAAACACUCAUCAACACAGAGGUGGAUACUGGGGCGGCAGGUAGCCUAGUGGUUAGUGGUUAGAGCAGGUAGCCUAGUGGUUAGAGCAGGUAGCCUAGUGGUUAGUGGUUAGAGCAGGUAGCCUAGUGGUUAGUGGUUAGAGCAGGUAGCCUAGUGGUUAGUGGUUAGAGCAGGUAGCCUAGUGGUUAGUGGUUAGAGCAGGUAGCCUAGUGGUUAGUGGUUAGAGCAGGUAGCCUAGUGGUUAGUGGUUAGAGCAGGUAGCCUAGUGGUUAGAGCAGGUAGCCUAGUGAUUAGAGCAGGUAGCCUAGUGGUUAGUGGUUAGAGCAGGUAGCCUAGUGGUUAGAGAAGGUAGCCUAGUGGUUAGAGCAGGUAGCCUAGUGGUUAGAGCAGGUAGCCUAGUGGUUAGAGCAGGUAGCCUAGUGGUUAGAGAAGGUAGCCUAGUGGUUAGAGAAGGUAGCCUAGUGGUUAGAGCAGGUAGCCUAGUGGUUAGAGAAGGUAGCCUAGUGGUUAGAGCAGGUAGCCUAGUGGUUAGAGAAGGUAGCCUAGUGGUUAGAGCAGGUAGCCUAGUGGUUAGAGAAGGUAGCCUAGUGGUUAGAGCAGGUAGCCUAGUGGUUAGAGAAGGUAGCCUAGUGGUUAGAGAAGGUAGCCUAGUGGUUAGAGCAGGUAGCCUAGUGAUUAGAGCAGGUAGCCUAGUGGUUAGAGAAGGUAGCCUAGUGGUUAGAGCAGGUAGCCUAGUGGUUAGAGCAGGUAGCCUAGUGGUUAGAGCAGGUAGCCUAGUGGUUAGAGAAGGUAGCCUAGUGGUUAGAGCAGGUAGCCUAGUGGUUAGAGCAGGUAGCCUAGUGGUUAGAGAAGGUAGCCUUGUGGUUAGAGCAGGUAGCCUAGUGGUUAGAGAAGGUAGCCUAGUGGUUAGAGAAGGUAGCCUAGUGGUUAGAGCAGGUAGCCUAGUGGUUAGAGCAGGUAGCCUAGUGGUUAGAGAAGGUAGCCUAGUAGUUAGAGCAGGUAGCCUAGUGGUUAGAGAAGGUAGCCUAGUAGUUAGAGAAGGUAGCCUAGUAGUUAGAGCAGGUAGCCUAGUGGUUAGAGCAGGUAGCCUAGUGGUUAGAGAAGGUAGCCUAGUAGUUAGAGCAGGUAGCCUAGUGGUUAGAGAAGGUAGCCUAGUAGUUAGAGAAGGUAGCCUAGUGGUUAAAGCAGGUAGCCUAGUGGUUAGAUCAGGUAGCCUAGUGGUUAGAUCAGGUGGCCUAGUGGUUAGAUCAGGUAGCCUAGUGGUUAGAUCAGGUAGCCUAGUGGUUAGAGCAGGUAGCCUAGUGGUUAGAUCAGGUGGCCUAGUGGUUAGAGCAG
ensembl:lncRNA